CUUUCUGAAUUUUAUGAAAAGUGCUUAUAUUUUGUCUCCUUCCUUCAUCCUUUUCUUCCUCCCUCAAACAUUAAGUUAUUUAUCAUAUCAGCACUUCUCAAACUAUCUAUGAUGAAGGGCUGUUGUUUAAAAAAUUCUCCAUUGGUUGCAGACCAAUAUUUUUAUGAUAUAUAAUAAAAAUUGCCAGAAAAAGAAAAUAUACAAAAUACAUGCCCCGCUUUUUUUUUUUUAUUAGAUUCAACAGAUACAGAAUUACUCUGUCAAAUUGCUAUCAAAGUUUCUAAAUGCUUACUUCAGUUUCUGUACUUAACUCAUGGCUUGGUAACCAGCAGUGAUCUAAGGAUAACUUUUUGAGUGUGUUUGCUGCUGUGUGUUCAGAAAUGUCUGAGACAUGGUUUAUGACCUCUAGAAACUUAGGGUUUGGUGGGAGAAACAAGCAUGUAGAUGAUCAGGAGCAGAAAAUACUGUAGGUUAUAAACAAAAGCCUUUAAAUAAUAUCCUGGAUAUCAUUCUGAUCUGUACAAGGUACGUGCUGGCACCAAGGACAGAGCAGUCACUUACAUCUGGGGGACUCAGAAAAGGCUUCGUAGAAGAGAGGAGAUUUCAGCUAGAUCUUGAUGUUAAAUCUUGGCUUUUCUGUUUCGAGUAGAAAUAACUUGCAGAGUGUGGUUUGUAAAAACAAAAUGAUAGCAACAUUUGCCGCUACAUCAUUUAUUAUAGCAUGGAGAUAUUUAAAAGGUAAGUCAGGGACUUCGUUGAAUUGCCAUUUUAGUACAGUACACAACUGUGAAUAAUAUUCAAGGGAGCGCCAACAUGUGUUCCUCAAGCUGCUCCCAGCUCCCUAGGGAGUCCAAGGUAGUCAUUCACAGCUGCUCCUGUUGCCCUCGCUAGUGCAAACCAUUGCCUUCUCUGCCUCCCCUUGACCUCUUGUUCAUGAGAAGCAGAAGAGAGAGCAGCUUCAGACUGGUGCUAACAGCUGGCAAGAGCUAUGUGAAAUCCCCUGGAGGGCCCCCCAAGAGUCUUGAGAGUUGCACCCCUGUAAUAUAAACCAGAAUCUGAGAAAAUUAGAUGCUUAAAGAACAUAAAGCCCUAUCAUUAUAGCCAAGGAGAUUCUCCCAUCUGCUGCUGGAUUUUCUCUUUAUAGGUUGUGGUCACUAGAGGGCAAUAAGACCAUUCAUAUGAGCCGGUAAGGUAUCUCCACCAGUAGAGGGUACUAGUGAUUAAUAUUUUAUGACAUGUAUAUAUGUACAUAUGUGUGUGUGUAUAUUCAUAUUUAGGCACACACCACAAAUACCAUUUCUGAUCAGAUCUUUUUUUUUUUUUUAAAGAUUUUAUUUAUUUAUUUGAGAGAGAGAGAAUGAGAGAGAGCACAUGAGAGGGGGGAGGGUCAGAGGGAGAAGCAGACCCCCUGCCGAGCAGGGAGCCCGAUGCGGGACUCGAUCCAGGGACUCCAGGAUCAUGACCUGAGCCAAAGGCAGUCGCUUAACCAACUGAGCCACCCAGGUGCCCUCUGAUCGGAUCUUAAAUAUCAGUGGAAUAGGCUGGAAUUGUCCUACAAAUACAGAACAGAUGAUCAUUUAAAAAAAAAAUAUUUCUGUUUGUGGGGCACCUGGCUGGCUCAGUCGGUAGCGCAUGCGACUCUUGAUCUUAGGGUUGUGAGUUCAGUCCCCACUUUGGACAUAGAGAUUACUUUAAAAAAAAUUAUUUCCAUUUGUCCUUUGAGUACAGUUGUGAGUGUGCUUUUAAGAAUGUGUGUGUCUAAUGUUCAUAGAUUUCAAUUCAGGGAUCAUAAUGAAAUCAAACACUUGGUUUGACUUAGGAGGAGCUAGAAAGUAUCCAACUUUUGAGUCCUGACCCUACCCCAAGCCCUCCCUAAACCUGAGGUUGUAUGGAAUAUAGGGGUUUCUUGGUUCCUUUGUAGUUAUUUCACUUGCUAGGCUGAAGAUUCAUUUGGAUCACUGCCUGAGAAUGUUUACAUUCUUCCGCCUUGCCUCCUGCCUGUCCCUAUCCUGUGGGCUAUAAGGGACACAUAUUUACGGACUACUUUCUCUGUGCUAGAAACUGUGUUGGCGUAAUAAUGAAGGAGACAGAUAUUGUCCCCACCUUUUUGGAUCCUGCAGUCUAAUGGAAGGACAGACAGUUUAACAAGACUUUAUCAUACAGUGUGAUGAGUGCUCUGAUGAUGGGUAGAAGGUAGCCAACAGAGUAUACAUGUUGAAAGUAGAGAAGGAGGUGUUGAAGAACAUGUUAGGCAGUGGGCAACAUCAUGUGAGCUGUACGGAGGGCUGGAGGUGGGGGAGAACAUGAUGCAUUCCAGAAAUUAGAAGUUUGGUGUAUUUGAAAUGUAAUAGGCUGGAAAGAGUGUGGUAAGAAGUGAAACUGGAGAGACAAUCUUGACCAGAUGGAGAAGGCUCUUUGUAAGUCUGCUUGGUCUUAGUGUGUGUAUUAGUUAUCUAUCCCUGGGUAAAAAUUCCCCCCAAGUUUAGCAGCUUAAGUAUUUGUUAACUCACAUAGUUUUUCUGAGGGUCAGGAAUCUGGAAGCUGCUUAUUUGGGUGGUUCUAGUUCACGGUCUCUUAAGAGGUUACAGUCAAGCUUUUGGAUGGGGCUGUAGUCAUCUGAAAGCUUCACCAGGGCUUGAGUAUCUCAAAAUGGCUCACUCACAGGACUGCUGGUAGGAAGCCUCAGUUCCUCAUCAUGUCGGCCUCUCCUUACAGCUGCUCAUGACAUGGCAGCUGACUUUCCCCAGAACAAGCGAUCCAAGAGAGAACAACCAAGAUGGAUGCCACAGUGUCUUUCAUAACCUAAUCUUGGAAGUGGCAUGCUGUCACUUCUGUCAUAUUCUAUUGGUCACACAGACCAACCCAGGUAAAAUAUGGGGGGGGGGGGUUGGGCAACUGCAUACAGGUUAUGAAUACCAAAAGGUAAGGAUCAUUGGAGGUUAUUAGUAAACUGGCUACUGUAGCAUGUAUUUCUCAUUUAUUUUACUUCCUGGAUCUGCAGAUUUAUGUUCAUUUGUAGAAAUUUUACAGCCAUUAUCUCAUCAAAAGUGGCUCUCUCUCAUUCUCACUAUUCCUUCAUUUUGGGAUUCUACAGUUAGAAGUAUGUUAGGCCUUUUAUUUACCAAACCCCUUAGCUUAUCAGUCAUCAUCCUAUCUCCUUAAUCUCAUAGAAUUCCAGGAAAUUUCUUCAGAUAUGUAUCUUCCAAGUCAUUAAUUCUCUCUCCAGCUCACUCUAAUCUGCUAUUUAGCCCAUUCAUGGAGUUCUUUGUUUCAGAGCCAUUUUACAUUUUUACAAGUUUCCCCCCCAAAUCUGUCUCUUUUCAAUAGUAUUUGUAUAUCCUUGUCAUUGUGCCUUUUCUUUAUUUUUUAAAGGUUAUUUACUUAUUUGAGAGAGAGAAAGUGAGAGCCUGCGUGCACAAGUGGGGGAAGGGCAGGGAGAGGGCGAGAGAAAGAGAAUCCUCAAGUAGACUCCCCACUGAACACGGAGCCCAACACAGGGGCUUGAUCCAAGGACCCUGAGGUCAUGACCUGAGCCAAAGUCAGACACUUAACCCACUGAGCCACCCAAGUGCCCUUGUGCCUUUUAUUUCUUUAAGUAUUAAUAUAUGGUUCUUUUGUAUUCUUCAUCUGACUAUUCUAGUACUUGUAGUCCUUGAGGAUUUACAUCUUUGUUUCUUCUGACUCUCAUGGUGCUUGCCUUUCCAUGUGCUCGUUGAUUUUUAAUUGUGAGCUCAUUUUUUUCUUUUAAUCCAUGGGAAUUCUGUCAGGUUAGGUUGGAGCUUCCCUCUAGAGGGGAUUAACUUUUUUUUAGUUUCUGCCAGUAGUCAAGGGCCACUUCUAACCUGGAAUACUUUAGCAUACCUUGCAAGGAUCCCAGCUCAGUAUCCAAGAGUCCCACGAUUAGUUCUCCCACUUCAUCACUGGCCCAAAGUUAAGUGUUUCAGCAGCAUUGCUAUUAACAUCACCCCUUAGGAUAAUCCUACUCCUUUAGCCUCUGCUUACUUUUUUGGAGGAGGGAAUGAGGUGACUUUUAUCCAGAAUCUAGUUUAUUGCAGUGCAGGGGUAGCUUUAGUCCACCAUAAAGCCUAAGAUCUUAAGGGUAAUAGGUGGUUGUUAUUGAAGGGUUUUGAGUAGAGGACUGACAUAUUCAGAUUUACAUUUUAGAAAAAUCUGUCUACCAUGUGGGAAAAAUGUUGGAGAGAAGCAAACCUAGAGUCAGGAAGCCCAGUUAAGAAGCAAUUAAAAUGUCUAGGUGAGAAAUGAGAGCCUCCUGGAUGGGAUAAUCAUCAUGGGGAUGGAGCCGUGUGCUUGGAAUCAAGAGAUAUAAAUAGAAUAAAAUCCAAAGGACAUAGACAUUGAUUGGAUGUUGGGAAUGAAGAUAAAGAAAUGAAAGUUGAGGCCCAGAUUUCUAAUAUGGGCAAAUUGGUGGAUGGCAGUACUGCUUAUUACCAUAGAGGUGGGGGCAAUAUAAGUUCAGUUUUAGACUUAACUGUAUUUGACAUACUGUGGGACAUCCAAGUGAAAAUGUCUAACAAGACAUUGGACGUACAAGACUGCAGCUAAGGAGAGACCAUAAAUAUCUGUUUGAGAGUCAUUAUCGGCAUAUAGUUAGAAAUUGAGGCAAUAGAAAUAGGUAAGCUUGUUCAGGGAGAAUAUAUAAGAAAAGCUAAGAGCCAAGUCCCAAAUCCUGAGGCACACCAAUCUUGAAGAGACUUGUAUAAGGAAACUGAGAAGGUAUGACCAGAGAAACAGAAGGGAAACAGGAAGGAAUGCUGUCAUGCACUGGGAAGGAGUGGGGUAUUGGGGGGGGGGGGGCGGCAGAGGUCAGCAUGUCCAUUGUUGUCAAAGGGCCAAAUAAGUGAAAUCUAGAAAUUGCAUUUUGGAUUUUGCAAAGUAAGGUCAUUAACGAUUUUGGUAAGGACAGUUGCAAAGGCAAGAUUAAGAGCAGAAGCUUGAAGAGAGAGGAGGAGGGUAAGGAAAUGAAACUGAUGGUAGAUAACUCUUUCAAGAAGUUUUGUGUUGAAAGAGAAGAGAGAGGCAGCAGUAUCAGAAAGGGAAUGUGGAAUGGAAGAAAGUUCUGAUUUUUGGAACAAGGGAGACGCUAACUUGCUGGGUGACGGGCUCACAGAGGGACCUUGUCUGAGAGAAUGGACUGGCUUCAGCAAGACUUGACUGAGGAGGUGAGAGGGAGUGAGGACGUCAACGUGCCUUUCUCUGUGUUGUCCUCUCCUCCGGCGCAUUCCAUCUACCUUCAGACUCUUUAAUUGUCUGCCACCUUUUCCAGCCACCUGUUUCUCUUUUAUAGCCACCUCCCUUUAAAAAUGAUUGAUACUCACAACUCCCAUUUCUGCCCCUCCCACUCCUUCAUUAAACUCUUUCUGUUCUGGCUUCUCCCACACCACUGUUCUUCCCUCGCAGGACACGAGUGAUUUCUUUCUAAGCAAAUCCAAUAGUCUUGUCUCAUUUCUCAUCUUCCCAGAACUGUGAACUUGAGACCAUUGAUUUACUCUCUUUUCUGUUGACAUAAGUGACACUGAACUUGUUCCCAAUUCUGUGUCUAUUUUUGUAUAUAUAUGUUUUUAUGUAUAUGUUUUUAUCUGAGUUUAUAAUGACUCAUUUGUUUGCUGCUUUGUUUUUUUAUUUGCUAACUAGCAACUCUGUGUCCGCAGGACAUUGCUUUUAUUCACCAGUACAUUUCAAGCAUUAGUGUGGCCUAUAGCAGCAGCUCAGGAUAUAUUGAUCAAGUCAGUGAAAAUGACAAGGACAAAGAUUUUCUCCAUGGCUCUUUCUGCCUUUAUAUAUCCUGCUUCUUGCCUUUCUCUGUUUCUUCAUUCUUGUCCCUUUCCCCUACCAGAGGGUGCUGUUCCAUAAAUCUCAGACCUCAGUCAGCUGCUUUAGAAGUACUUAACCAGAGAGCUUGUCCACUUCUCCAGUUUAACUGAGGUGACUUAAUUCAGGUGAGUCUUGGGUAUGCAUCUCCUGUCCUCAUUAACUUUUGAAUCUUAGACUUUUAGAAAGGUUCUGAUUUAUAUUCCUGCUACUUUCAUAAAAUAUUACUAAUUCAACAGGUAAAAAUAGCAUCUUGUUUUCAUUUGCUUCAUAGAAUGGUUUUCUGUGUUUAUUGGUACUUUGUCCUUUUUUGUGAACUGUUUGUAUUAUUUGUCCAUUUACUGUUGAGAUCUUACCAUUUUUGUUAUCUCUUUCUGAAUUCUAUAAAGUCAAUGUCAUAAUACUUUUAAAUCUUAGCUACUUCAGUUUAUAAACAAAGAAACUCAGGCCCAGAGAGAUAAAGUGACUUAUCCAGGGCCACUUAGUGAGGUUAGCACCAGAAAUGUAAUGAGAGCCCAGGUCUCUUGGGGCAGGGUUCUUUCCUGGUUAGCGGACAGACUGCCAUUGUGCCGUGGACCCCGGCCAUAUGUGCCUUUAUUUUAUCAGAGCAUUUCUCUGGGUUCUGCCAUCUGCACAAACUCACCUCUUUUAAGUCAGAAUUUAGUGCCUUUUCUUAUGUACCCCAAAUGGGAGUUUUCUCCUAGUAUUGCCAUUUUAGUCAACAUCCCUAUGAUUUUGCUCUGACAAACUCUUCAGGUAGAAAUGUCCAACAGGGAGCUGGAGCCGUGGGAUUGAAGUGCAGAUGAGAAAUUUAAGACCAACAAUACGUAUUUGGAAGUCAUCUGUCCAGAAGCAUUUGCUUACAAUCACCUAAGUGGUGAAUUCUCUGAAUAAAAGUAAAAGAAAAGGCUAAAGGAUUAAACCUGAGUGAAUGUCUGUGGGGUGGAAGUGGGAGGAAGAAGAGGAGCCAGUGAAGAGACAGAGGGAGUGUAAUUAAAGAGGAAGAGGGAGAGAGGCAGGGCAGUACAAUGACAUGCAGACUCAGGAGGAGAAUGUUUUAAGAGGCACAAGAAAUGUGUGACCUCACUUCUCUCAAGUGGUCUGGGAAGUCAAGGGCUGGCUGGGCAAAAGCCUUUGGAUCUGCCACUGAAUUAAGGGCUCUGUGACUAGAUACCUUUAUUAUAGAGGAAAUAAGUGGGCAAGGGGUAUGGGGUAAAUGUCUGGUAAGGCAGUGGAGUCAGGCCUUGCCCUCUUAACCUGAUGAGCAAGCAUGCCCCCCUUUUGCAAUACUGUACAUAGGAAUAUAAUGGGGAAAAUUAUAUGUCCAUCCUAUUGAUCUGACUUCAGAGAUGUCUUUUUUUUUUUUUCUUAAAGAUUUUAUUUCUUUAUUUGAGGGAGAGACACAGCGAGAGAGGGAACACAAGCAGGGGGAUUGGGAGAGGGAGAAGUAGGCUUCCUGCUGAGCAGGGAACCCGAUGCGGGGCUCGAUCCCAGGACCCUGGGAUCAUGACCUGAGCUGAAGGCAGAUGCUUAACAACUGAACCACCCAGGCGCUCCCAAAGAUGUCUUAUUUUCAUUUAUGACUGGUUAACAACAGCAAAAAACCCUGUAUCACAAAGUACUUUCCCAUCUGUGAUCUCAUUUGAUCCAGAUAACCAUUGUGUGAGGGAAAUGUUAACGGUUUUCUCCAUUUUACAGAUGGGAAAACUAAGGCUUAGAGAGUUUGAAGUAAUUUGCUCUUGGUCAGAAAACCAAAUAAGUGACAAAGCUAUGAUGUACUUAUACCAUGUCAUGUCACCUCUUGAAACCUAAAGGUGCACCUUUGUCCAUGGUAAACUCUUGCUUGCCCUUCAAGACCCAGAUGAAAUGCAGUCUUCUAAUCUGAAGCUAAAAAUGUUUGUUGAAUGAAUAAAUGAGUUAGUGGGUGGAUGAAUGAAUGGGUUUGUGAUUUAACUUGCUCAAGGUUAUGGAAUAAGUUAAUGGCAACGACCUUUCAGAUGGCCUUUUCUUUUUAAGUUGUCCCAUAGAUUGUCAUUGCUUCAGCAAUCUUGAACUACUUAUAGAUUCCUGUAUUCAUUUUCUUUUGAAUAAUGCCCUGACAAAUUGCCACAAAAACCACUAGGUUUAAAACUUGGAAACACAGAUUUAUUAUCUUACAGUUUUAUAGGUCAGAAGACAGGUCUCAUUGGGCUAAAAUCAAGGUGUUGGCAAGGUUACAUUCCUUCCUGGAUGCUCUAGGGAAGAAUCUGUUCCCUUGCCUUUUCCAGUUUCUAGAAACACUGCAUUCCAUGGCUCAUGGUUCCCUUCCUUCAUCUGCAGAGCUGGCAGUGGUGGGUCGAAUUCUUGUAUCUUAUCUCUCCCACACGAGCCUUCUGUCUCUUCUACUUUUAAAGACCUGUGUGAUUAGAUUGGGCCCACUUAGAUAAUUCAGGUUAAUCUUCCCAUCUCAGAGUCCUUAACCUUAAUCUUGUCAAAGUCCCAUUUUCUGUGUAAGGUAACAUAAUCACAGGUUCUGAGGAUUGGGGCAUGGACAUCCUUGGGGAUCAUUGUUUUGCUUACUACAACCCUUAAAUUAUGCCAUGCUAUUUCAGGUUCUGUCUUCUCCUUCACUGUGCUUCUUGUGUGAGUCCUGUCUUCUUGAACCAUUGUCAAGACUCAGGACAAGAAUUGCCUCUUUUCAUGGUGUUCCCCGGCCCUUUUGUUAGCUGAAUUGACUCCUCUGUCCUUUUGACCCUCCCUGGAGUUCCCCUUCAAUACUAUCUUAGGAUCCUGGACCGACCUGUAACACUUUUGUGUAUUUUGUUUUGUUUAGGUGUCUUCUCCUAUGCUUAGACCUACCUGGAGCUCCUUGGGUACAGGAUUGUCUUGCUCAACAUUCUAUCCCAGUGUCUAGCACAAGGCCUGAAGAAGGUUUCCUAGACAUCCCCUCUCUUCUCUUUUGCUGCCCCAGACCAGCUGCCUUUCCUGCUAUCACCUGCCUUGCGGACAAAUCUUGCAUUCUCCUGGGCUCCCUUACAGUACUGCCCUUCCUGGGAGGACUUCACUGGUUUGGCAGCAUCUCCUGACCAGUCUGGGUAGAGGUCCUGUGGGGCAUCUGUGAGGUGACCCCACUGCCCUGGCCUGAGAGGUGAAGCCUUCUGCCCUUUGGCCAUCUCUCAAGACCUGUGCUCUUCUGAUUGGGGAACAGCAAGAAGUUGAACAGCAUUAUCUCAACAGAGCUUUACUGAACACUCCCUGCGAGCCAGUCCCAGGGAAUUAGGGGUUAAGUGUGUAGGCUCUGGAGUCAGGCUGUGUGUGUUCAGAUCCUGGCUAAACCUGGCUAAACCCUUAGUAGCUGUGAAAUGUUGGGCAGGUUACUUUGCUGAGCUUCAUUUUCUCAUUUGUAAAAGGAGAUAUAAUAAUAGUAUUUAAUUCAUUGUUUAGUUAUAAAAAUUAAAUGGGAUAAUUCACAUACAAUCUGGAGUAGUAAGCAGGAAGAAUUCUUAAUUAGAG